ACACCCGGUGAUGACUGCAUGGAUCUCCUUCAUCUGCUGGGAUUCAAGCUGUGUUGCUGACACCACACUGAUGCCCAGCACCUUCCUCUCCCAGCCCCCGCCUGGGACUUGGCACCCUGAUUGGUCCAAGCAGCAGCCCAUGACUAGACUGUGGUCCAGGCUGGCGAGUCCAGGAUGAGAGCAUACUUGUCUCCAAACCAGCAUCUCCUAAUGAAAAGAAGCAGCAGCUUAAAAUCAUCUGAUCAAGGGCUGAUCCUUCAU
rnacentral:lncRNA from 1 species